rnacentral:ncRNA from 1 species
GCCAACUUGUCGGAGUGCCUUUUGGGCUGAGAUCGCUGUCGCGAGAUCCGUUGAACCUGAUCAGGGUAACCCCUGCGUAGGGAACAAGAUCUGAAUUCGC